UACAUAAUAGAUAUAUAUACAGUUUUUCCCUACCCUACCCGUCAUCCUCUUUUCUCUUUAUCCUCUCCCUCAAUUUUCCUUCUUUUCCCUUCACCGUGUCUCCCAUCUACCCUUUCUUCUUGCCACCCUAUUGUUUAAGCUUUGAUUUUUGUUUUUCCACCUACCUUGCUGAUCGUUUUACCCUCCUUAAUUAGCCUUAUUUGCUACCCUAAGUCACCUUAAAGCCGCCCCUAUCAGUCUCUUUUAUUGCUCAAUUGUCGCCCCUCUCCAUUGUUGAAGUAGUGCCACUCUAAGAAUUCAUCUUUAUGGCUGACAAAGAUUCCCUCUUGUCUCGCCCUGUUCUGCAUUUUUCUGUCGCCGUUUGUGGUGUUGCCGCCCUUUAAGACACCACCAGUUUGGACAGUCGUUCCCUUUUCAGUUACCACCCUUAUAUCAGUGUGCUUUUCGAGUUAUUCUUUAUUUAUAUCUGGUCUAAACGUUCUAAGUUGGCAAAGUAACCUAGGUGAUCAAUGGCUAACUCAGAUCUCGGUAACGAGUAGUGCAAAAUGUAGAUUUGUGUGAGAUCUCGCACUGUUUCGUUUUGUUGUUAAGUGAUGCUAUGGUCGAAUACCCUAAGGCUUGGAUAUGGAAUUUCGUUGCGGAUUUUUGGGUAUUUAAUGUGAUUUAGGUGCUGAUUUGAACAUCCCGGAUCAACAAUAAAACCAGAUUUCAUCCAUGCCCUCGUUUCGUAGCAAAUCAGUGCAAGUUGUUCAAUCGAAUUGAACCUAAAAUUUUUGGCAUGUAGCACUGAUUUGGCCGAUCCAUUAAAGGGUGUUUCAAGGCUGGUUUUAAUGGUAGUUAAUGUGGUAGUUAUUGUUAUUUGGUGUUAGGUUCGAUUAAGGAGUUAAAUUUGGAACACAAACUUUUUCAGCUUAGUGCUGCGGAUUUUUGAUAAUAAGGUGGGUUCUAACUUGUUAAAAAGUGCUAAAAUUAUGCUUUUAAUGAUUAAA